rnacentral:rRNA from 1 species
AGAAUCAACGCUGGCGGCGUGCCUAACACAUGCAAGUCGAACGAGAAAGUGGAGCAAUCCAUGAGUAAAGUGGCGCACGGGUGAGUAACACGUGACUAACCUACCCUUGAGUGGGGGAUAACCUAGGGAAACCUGGGCUAAUACCGCAUAAUACCUUCGGGUCAAAGGAGCAAUUCGCUUAAGGAGGGGGUCGCGGCCGAUUAGUUAGUUGGCGGGGUAAUGGCCAACCAAGACUGUGAUCGGUAU